ACUCCUACGGGAGGCAGCAGUAGGGAAUCUUCCACAAUGGGCGCAAGCCUGAUGGAGCAACACCGCGUGAGUGAAGAAGGGUUUCGGCUCGUAAAGCUCUGUUGUUAAAGAAGAACACGUAUGAGAGUAACUGUUCAUACGUUGACGGUAUUUAACCAGAAAGUCACGGCUAACUACGUGCCAGCAGCCGCGGUAAUACGUAGGUGGCAAGCGUUAUCCGGAUUUAUUGGGCGUAAAGAGAGUGCAGGCGGUUUUCUAAGUCUGAUGUGAAAGCCUUCGGCUUAACCGGAGAAGUGCAUCGGAAACUGGAUAACUUGAGUGCAGAAGAGGGUAGUGGAACUCCAUGUGUAGCGGUGGAACGCGUAGAUAUAUGGAAGAACACCAGUGGCGAAGGCGGCUACCUGGUCUGCAACUGACGCUGAGACUCGAAAGCAUGGGUAGCGAACAGGAUUAGAUACCCUGGUAGGAUAGCG
rnacentral:rRNA from 1 species